GUUAACGGCUUUACCACGUUGAAAGCACCGUUUCUCGUCGAUCAGCCAAGUUAAGCAACGUCGGGCGCAGUUAGUACGUAGAUGGGAGACCGCUUGGGAACACUGCGUGCUGUUGCCU
rnacentral:rRNA from 1 species